CGCCAGACUCCUACGGGAGGCAGCAGUGGGGAAUAUUGCACAAUGGGGGAAACCCUGAUGCAGCGACGCCGCGUGAGCGAAGAAGUAUUUCGGUAUGUAAAGCUCUAUCAGCAGGGAAGAAAAUGACGGUACCUGAGUAAGAAGCUCCGGCUAAAUACGUGCCAGCAGCCGCGGUAAUACGUAUGGAGCAAGCGUUAUCCGGAUUUACUGGGCGUAAAGGGAGCGUAGGCGGCCUGCCAAGUCUGAUGUGAAAUGCCGGGGCUCAACCCCGGGGCUGCAUUGGAAACUGGCAGGCUGGAGUGCCGGAGAGGCAGGCGGAAUUCCCGGUGUAGCGGUGAAAUGCGUAGAGAUCGGGAGGAACACCAGUGGCGAAGGCGGCCUGCUGGGCUUUAACUGACGCUGAAGCACGAAAGCGUGGGUAGCAAACAGGAUUAGAUACCCGGGUA
rnacentral:rRNA from 1 species